UACAGAGGGUGCGAGCGUUAAUCGGAAUUACUGGGCGUAAAGCGUGCGUAGACGGUAGCGUAAGUCAGAUGUGAAAGCCCCGGGCUCAACCUGGGAAUUGCAUUUGAGACUGCUCUGCUCGGGUGCGGAAGAGGGAAGCGGAAUUUCCGGUGUAGAGGUGAAAUUCGUAGAUAUUGGGAAGAACACCGGUGGCGAAGGCGGCGACCUGGUCCAUUACUGACGGCUGAGGCGCGAAAGCGUGGGGAGCAAACAGG
rnacentral:rRNA from 1 species